rnacentral:ncRNA from 1 species
UUCUUCUGUAGCUGGCUGGAUUGGCGGCUGGGUAUCCACGACGCGGCCUUAACCGCGUGUGUCCAGAGGAA